UACGUAGGUGGCAAGCGUUACUCGGAAUCACUAGGCGUAAAGCGCAGGUAGGCGGUUGGAUAAGUUUCUUGUGAAAGCUCCUGGCUUAACUGGGAGAGGUCAAGGAAUACUGUCUGACUUGAGUGUGGUAGGGGUAACUGGAAUUCCCGGUGUAGCGGUGAAAUGCGCAGAUAUCAGGAGGAACCCCGAUGGCGAAGGCAGGUCUCUGGGCCACUACUGACGCUGAGAAGCGAAAGCAUGGGGAGCGAACAGG
rnacentral:rRNA from 1 species